rfam:Erysipelotrichaceae bacterium 3_1_53 genomic scaffold supercont1.6, whole genome shotgun sequence.
CAAAUGGAGAGUUUGAUCCUGGCUCAGGAUGAACGCUGGCGGCAUGCCUAAUACAUGCAAGUCGAACGAAGUCUCUAGGGAGCUUGCUUCCAAAGAGACUUAGUGGCGAACGGGUGAGUAACACGUAGGUAACCUGCCCAUGUGUCUGGGAUAACUGCUGGAAACGGUAGCUAAAACCGGAUAGGUAUACGGAGCGCAUGCUCUGUAUAUUAAAGCACCCCC